rnacentral:tRNA from 1 species
GGGGUUGUAGCUCAGUGGUAGAAUUCUUGCCUACCAUGCAUGAGGCAUGGUUCGAUCCUCAGCACCA